rnacentral:misc_RNA from 1 species
CAUCAUCUUCUUCUUCUUCUUCUUAAUUACCUAAAUUAAUCGUGUUGUGCUGCAUAAUCAAUGUGAUUAGAUGGGUCCCAUGUCUUGUUAUCAAAUUUGAUAUGUCAUAAAUUCUAUAUUAGUUUCUUUGUUUUUGCAAGGACGUGUUUGAUGGUAUCAAAAUUAAUUUAUACUAUAAAGAAAGGCACAGCCAAUGAGUAUAGGCAUCUAGGUGGGACAAUGCUUAUGGGCCUCGCAAUUUUCAACGAAAUCCCAAAAAAAGAAGAGAAUAAUUCUCGUUGAUGCUUCCUUGAGUGUUACCCUUUGUUUGAAAAAAAAAAAA